GAGAGAGACAUGCGCGCAUAUCAAUAAGCGGAGGAAAAGAAACUAACAAGGAUUCCCCUAGUAACGGCGAGUGAAGCGGGAAGAGCUCAAAUUUGAAAUCUUAAAGGGUUUCCCUUUACGAAUUGUAGUUUAAAGAAGUGUUUUCUGUUGAGGUUUUGGUAAAAGUUCUUUGGAAUAGGACAUCAUAGAGGGUGAGAAUCCCGUAUUUGACCUUUACUUUCAACUUUGUGAUACACUUUCAAAGAGUCGGAUUGUUUGGGAAUGCAGUCCAAAAUGGGUGGUAAAUUUCAUCUAAAGCUAAAUAUUGGCGAGAGACCGAUAGCGAACAAGUACCGUGAGGGAAAGAUGAAAAGAACUUUGAAAAGAGAGUUAAACAGUACGUGAAAUUGUCAAAAGGGAAGCGUUUGACACCAGUGUUGUUUUUCUGAAAAUCAAUUAAAGAACUGUUUAUGCUAAGUUGUUUAGACUUUAUCAGCUAACUGUUUAGUUUUGAGCUUUUCUUUAAUGCACUUUUCAGUUAACAAGUCAACAUCAAUUUCUUUUGCUGUAAAAAAGCUUGAGGAAGGUGGCUUGAGAUUCGUCUCAAGUGUUUAUAGCCUCUUGCCUAUGCAGUCGGAGAGAUUGAGGUCUGCAGCGUAGAUCCUUCGGGGCUAAAUGCAUUUGUGCUAAGUUAUAACAUUUUAUAGACAACUUGUUGACUAUGAUUUGUCUUGUAGCUUACUCGCUUAUGUUAUUUUACCUACGCUUAGGAUGUUGAGCGCAUGUCUCUCUCU
rnacentral:rRNA from 1 species